rnacentral:rRNA from 1 species
UUAACCUUGGGGUGAGACUGCCAGUAGUCAUAUGCUUGUCUCAAAGAUUAAGCCAUGCAUGUCUAAGUACAUGCCGUAUUAAGGCGAAACCGCGAAUGGCUCAUUAAAUCAGUUAUGGUUCCUUGGAUCGUACUUCACUACUUGGAUAACUGUGGCAACUCUAGAGCUAAUACAUGCAGCAGAGCUCCGACCUUCGGGGACGAGCGCUUUUAUUAGACCAAAACCAAUCGGACCUCGUGUCCGUCCUUCGUGGUGACUCUGUAUAACUUUGGGCUGAUCGCACGGGCCCGUCCCGGCGACGUAUCUUUCAAGUGUCUGCCUUAUCAACUUUCGAUGGUAGGUUACGCGCCUACCAUGGUCAUAACGGGUAACGGGGAAUCAGGGUUCGAUUCCGGAGAGGGAGCCUGAGAAACGGCUACCACAUCCAAGGAAGGCAGCAGGCGCGCAAAUUACCCACUCCCAGAACGGGGAGGUAGUGACGAAAAAUAACAAUACGGGACUCUUUUGAGACCCCGUAAUUGGAAUGAGUACACUCUAAAUCCUUUAACGAGGAUCUAUUCGAGGGCAAGUCUGGUGCCAGCCGCCGCGGUAAUUCCAGCUCGAAUAGCGUAUAUUAAAGUUGUUGCGGUUAAAAAGCUCGUAGUUGGAUCUCAGUUCCAGACGGGUGGUCCGCCAAACGGUGGUUACUGCCCGUUCUGAACAGCCAGCCGGUUUCUCUUGAUGAUCUUCACCGGUUGUCUCGGGUGACCGGCAAGUUUACUUUGAAAAAAUUAGAGUGCUCAAAGCAGGCGUGACGCCUGAAUAAUGGUGCAUGGAAUAAUGGAAUAGGACCUCGGUUCUAUUUUGUUGGUUUUCGGAACACGAGGUAAUGAUUAAGAGGGACAGACGGGGGCAUUCGUAUUGCGACGCUAGAGGUGAAAUUCUUGGACCGUCGCAAGACGAACUACUGCGAAGAAUUUGCCAAAGA